UACGUAGGGUGCAAGCGUUAAUCGGAAUUACUGGGCGUAAAGCGUGCGCAGGCGGUUAUGCAAGACAGAUGUGAAAUCCCCGGGCUUAACCUGGGAACCGCAUUUGUGACUGCAUAGCUGGAGUACGGCAGAGGCGAGCGGAAUACCCGGUGUAGCGGUGAAAUGCGUAGAGAUCGGGUGGAACACCAGAGGCGAAGGCGGCUCGCUGGACAAGUAUUGACACUGAACAACGAAAGCGUGGGGAGCAAACAGG
rnacentral:rRNA from 1 species